rnacentral:rRNA from 1 species
CAAAAGCUCAAAUUUGAAAUCUGGUACCUUCGGUGCCCGAGUUGUAAUUUGGAGAGGGCAACUUUGGGGCCGUUCCUUGUCUAUGUUCCUUGGAACAGGACGUCAUAGAGGGUGAGAAUCCCGUGUGGCGAGGAGUGCGGUUCUUUGUAAAGUGCCUUCGAAGAGUCGAGUUGUUUGGGAAUGCAGCUCUAAGUGGGUGGUAAAUUCCAUCUAAAGCUAAAUAUUGGCGAGAGACCGAUAGCGAACAAGUACAGUGAUGGAAAGAUGAAAAGAACUUUGAAAAGAGAGUGAAAAAGUACGUGAAAUUGUUGAAAGGGAAGGGCAUUUGAUCAGACAUGGUGUUUUGUGCCCUCUGCUCCUUGUGGGUAGGGGAAUCUCGCAUUUCACUGGGCCAGCAUCAGUUUUGGUGGCAGGAUAAAUCCAUAGGAAUGUAGCUUGCCUCGGUAAGUAUUAUAGCCUGUGGGAAUACUGCCAGCUGGGACUGAGGACUGCGAC